GUGCUCCCCGCCAAUUUCCUGAAAGGCCGUGCUUCGCAAUCGCCAGUCCGCGAAGGUACCCGGCGAAACUCUGUUCCGGGGAACGCCAAACGCGGAGAAAUUCUCCCACACCGCCGUAAGCUGAGCGGGAUCCCGCCAUGCCAAUGGACGGAUCAGGGUCCGGUCAAUGGCGCUGAAAAUCGCGGAAUUUGCCCCGAUUCCCAGCGCCAGAAUCAGGACGACGGCCGCAGUAAAGGCCGUCUCGCGCCGCAGCAGCCGAACAGCGUGCCGUAAGUCGUUCCACAUUUCGUACUUAAGACGGGAACUUCGGGGUCAGGUUAGGUUAAGGCUACAUCCGCCGUUUCCUUACGAAUCGGCAGCGUAUCCAGGACCUCGCGGAUGGAAUGGCCUAAACCCAGCACCGAUCGCAGAUCGGGUGGCUUUACCAGAUAACGGCGUAUGUUCAGCUUUUCCAUUUGAGCGCGGUCCUCGGGUGCGUCCGAUGAUGUCAGAAUCACCACCGGUGUGUUCACAAACGGAGAAGUGGACCGCAUCGCGGAAAGAACUUCCCUGCCGCUGGCCUUGGGCAGAUUCAAAUCCAAUAUCACCAAAUCCGGCCAGACGCAGGUGUUCGAUUCCCGGCGAUGAAUAAAAUCCAGCGCCGCACCGCCGUCCGGCAGCACCUCGAGAUAGCACUCAAUACUGGCUCGCCUCAGAGCCCACCGCAGCAGCUCCACAUCCCCAGGAUUAUCUUCCACCAGCAGGAGGCGGGCUUUGCGACCGGCAGGAUCAACCGGAGAAGGGC
rnacentral:rRNA from 1 species